UGACGAUAGCCUAGGAGAUACACCUGUACCCAUGCCGAACACAGCAGUUAAGCCCUAGAACGCCUGAAGUAGUUGGGGGUUGCCCCCUGUUAGAUACGGUAGUCGCUUAGCA
rnacentral:rRNA from 1 species